rnacentral:rRNA from 1 species
CCUACGGGUGGCAGCAGUUUCGAAUCAUUCACAAUGGGCGAAAGCCUGAUGGUGCGACGCCGCGUGAGGGAUGAAGGUCUUCGGAUUGUAAACCUCUGUCACUGGGGAAGCUUAACCCGGAGAGGAAGCAGUGGCUAACUCUGUGCCAGCAGCCGCGGUAAUACAGAGACUGCAAGCGUUAUUCGGAUUCACUGGGCGUAAAGGGUGCGCAGGUGGCCAAGUGUGUCAGGUGUGAAAUCCCGGAGCUUAACUCCGGAACUGCGCCUGAAACUGCAUGGCUAGAGCAUUGGAGAGGGAAGUGGAAUUCACGGUGUAGCAGUGAAAUGCGUAGAUAUCGUGAGGAACACCAGAGGCGAAGGCGACUUCCUGGACAAUGCUGACACUCAGGCACGAAAGCGUGGGUAGCCAAAGGGAUUAGAUACCCUUGUAGUC